UACAGAGGGUGCAAGCGUUGUUCGGAAUCACUGGGCGUAAAGCGCACGUAGGCGGCUUUUUAAGUCAGAGGUGAAAUCCUGGAGCUCAACUCCAGAACUGCCUUUGAUACUGGAGAGCUUGAGUCCGGGAGAGGUGAGUGGAACUGCGAGUGUAGAGGUGAAAUUCGUGAGAUAUCAAGAACACCAGUGGCGAAGGCGGCUCACUGGCCCGGUACUCGACGCUGAGGUGCGAAAGCGUGGGGAGCGAACGAG
rnacentral:rRNA from 1 species